rnacentral:lncRNA from 1 species
UUUCAGGUCUUGUGGUCUAGCCAUAUCCAUUUUGGGUUGAUUUAUAGUGUUUGUGUUGUGAUUUAGGUCUCUGAAAAAAUGAGCUCUAACAAGUGAUGGUGCAGUGACUGAAGAGGACCCACCCAGCUGGUUUUACUGCUCUGCUGGCAAAGACUACGGUCCCUGCAGUAGAGCUGUCAGAAGACAACAUAUGUCCAGGGCAGAGCUGCUCCAAAUGGCAUUGGAGUUGAAAUCUCCAAGGAGAUCUCCUCUCCUGUAAUAUUUUAAAUCCUUAUUUGACUGAUGCUGCAGGUGGAGAGUAUUAGUUACCUUCAGUG